AGUGAACGCUGGCGGUACGCCUAACACAUGCAAGUCGAACGGCAGCACAGUAAGAGCUUGCUCUUACUGGUGGCGAGUGGCGGACGGGUGAGGAAUACACCGGAAUCUACUUUUUCGUGGGGGAUAACGUAGGGAAACUUACGCUAAUACCGCAUACGACCUACGGGUGAAAGCAGGGGAACUUCGUACCUUGCGCGAUUGAAUGAGCCGAUGUCGGAUUAGUUAGGUGGGGGGGUAAAGGCCCACCAAGGCGACGAUCCGUAGCUGGUCUUAGAGGAUGAUCAGCCACACUGGAACUGAGACACGGUCCAGACUCCUACGGGAGGCAGCAGUGGGGAAUAUUGGACAAUGGGCGCAAGCCUGAUCCAGCCAUACCGCGUGGGUGAAGAAGGCCUUCGGGUUGUAAAGCCCUUUUGUUGGGAAAGAAAAGCAGCAGGUUAAUACCCCGCUGUUCUGACGGUACCCAAAGAAUAAGCACCGGCUAACUUCGUG
rnacentral:rRNA from 1 species